rnacentral:rRNA from 1 species
AUGUCGCGCCGCCCCUUCCUCCUGCUCCUCCUCGUCCCCCUGGUUGCCUCCAUUGCGCAGCCCCUUCCGCCGAACACCUCCCCCGGCGCCGGCUCCACCACGGCGGUUCUACUCUCCUUCGUCGCCGCGCUUCCCCCGGCCGCCCAGCGCGUCCUCCGUCCGACAUGGCUGCGGCGCCACCGGACCGGCGGCAACUCGUCCUCCCCCUUCGCCAUCUACCGGCGCCACCACCACCGUCACUGCGCGUUUCUUGGCGUCACGUGCUCCGCCGCCGGCGCCGUGAUCGCGAUCAACCUCUCCAGCACGGGGCUCUCCGGCGCUCUCGGCGCGUCCGCGCCGCGCCUCUGCGCGCUCCCGGCGCUCGCCGCGCUUGACCUCAGCCGGAACAACCUCACGGGCGCCGUUCCCGCCGCGCUCGCCGCGUGCUCCGCCGUCACCACGCUCGUCCUCGCCUUCAACUUCCUCGCGGGCGCCGUCCCCGCGGAGCUCCUCUCCUCGCACCGUCUCCGGACGAUCGACCUCAACACCAACGCGCUCACCGGGGAGAUCCCCGCCGCUCCCUCCGGCUCCUCGCUCCUCGUGUACCUCGACCUCAGCGCCAACUCACUCUCCGGCGUCAUCCCUCCGGAGCUCGCCGCGCUCCCGGAGCUCACCUACCUGGACCUGAGCAGCAACAACCUGUCCGGCCCAGUGCCGGAGUUCUCAGCUCCGUGCGGGCUGCUCUACCUCAGCCUCUUCUCGAACCAGCUCGCCGGUGAGCUCCCCCGCAGCCUCGCCAACUGCUGCAACCUCACCGUCCUGUAUCUACCCAACAACAACAUCAGCGGCGAGGUGCCCGAUUUCUUCGCCUCCACGCCGAACUUGCAGAAACUGUACCUUGGCAACAACGCGUUCACCGGCGCAUUGCCGGCAAGCAUCGGCGAGCUUUUGAACCUGGAAGAAUUGGUGGUGUCGAGUAACUGGUUCACCGGCUCCGUCCCCUAUACAAUCGGGCAGUGCCAGUCCUUGACACUGCUCUACUUGAACGGCAACUGCUUCACCGGCUCAAUCCCACCAUGUAUCGGCAACCUGAGCCUACUGCACAAGUUUUCUGUCGCGGACAACAGCCUCACCGGGAGAAUUCCGCCGGAAAUCAGGAGCUGCCGUGGACUGGUGGAGCUUGAGCUCCAGAACAACAGCCUCUCCGGCACGAUACCGCCGGAGAUCGCCGAGCUCAGCCUGCUGCAAAAGCUGUAUCUGUUCAACGACAUGCUCCACGGCCCGGUUCCUCCAGCACUGUGGCAACUGGCUGGCAUGGUGGAGCUGUACCUCAACAACAACAGCCUAGGUGGCCAGAUACAUCCAGGCAUCACUCGCAUGAGGAACCUGAGAGAGAUCACCUUGUACAGCAACAACUUCACCGGCGAGCUGCCGCAAGCCCUGGGGCUCAACACCACGCCGGGAAUCCUCCGCGUCGACCUCACCGGCAACCGCUUCCACGGCGCGGUCCCUCCUGGCCUGUGCACAGGAAGCCAGCUCGCCGUCCUUGAUCUUGGAUACAACCGAUUCCAUGGAAGAUUUCCCAGUGAGAUUGCCAAAUGCCAGUCUCUGUAUGGGAUCAACCUGAACAACAACAGGAUCAGUGGGAGCUUACCUGCAGACCUGGCCACGAACAGAGGGCUGUCGUACAUCGACAUGAGUAACAACCUUCUUGAAGGAAGGAUACCAGGCGUGAUCGGCUCAUGGAGCAACCUCACCAUGAUCGACCUCUCGCGCAACACCUUCUCUGGUCCAAUACCCCACGAGCUCGGCGCUCUGAGCAAUCUUGUGACCCUGCGAGUGUCGUCGAACACGCUGACAGGAUCGAUACCACAUGAACUAGGAAACUGCAAACGGCUUGUUUGCUUAGACCUUGGAAACAACCUUCUGAAUGGAAGUUUGCCGGCGGAGAUCACAGCUCUUGGCAGCCUGCAAAGCCUCCUACUCGGCGGCAACAAGCUCACCGGGGCAGUACCGGAUUCCUUCGCCGCGACGCAGGCCCUCCUUGAGCUGCAGCUUGGUGACAAUCAUUUUGAAGGAGCCAUCCCACACAGCUUGGGCAAUCUUCAGUACAUCUCUAAAACCCUGAACAUGAGCAGCAACAGACUGAGCGGCCAGAUCCCAAGCAGCCUCGGCAACCUUCAGGGCCUGGAAGUGCUGGACCUGUCCAAGAACUCGUUGUCCGGCCCGAUCCCGCCGCAGCUGAGCAACAUGAUCUCCCUUCUGGCCGUGAACGUGUCGCUCAACGAGCUGUCCGGCCAGCUCCCUGCCGGCUGGGCUAAGCUGGCAGCACAGUCGCCUGAAGGCUUCUCAGGGAACCCUCAGCUGUGCAUUCAGUCUGACAGUGCACCUUGCUCCAACAAGAACCAGUCCCUGAAAAACAGAACCAGAAAUGCACGGAUCGUCGUUGCAUUGCUACUUCCAACUCUUGCCAUCAUCGCUGCCAGCAUGUUCCUCCUCCACCACGUCGCGAAGAGGUCGUCGCGGCGCCGAUCAGCCCGGCGCGCCUCGAUCCGCAGCAUGGACUCGACGGAGGAGCUGCCGGAGGACCUGACCUACGAGGACAUCCUCCGGGCGACCGACAACUGGAGCGAGAGGUACGUGAUCGGGCGAGGCCGGCACGGCACGGUGUACCGCACGCAGAGCAAGCUCGGGAGGGAGUGGGCGGUGAAGACGGUGGACCUGUCCCACGGCAAGUUCCCGGUGGAGAUGAAGAUCCUCAACACGGUGAGGCACCGGAACGUCGUCAGGAUGGCCGGGUACCACAUCCGCGGCGGCGCCGGGCUGAUCCUCUACGAGUACAUGCCCGAGGGGACGCUCUUCGAGCUGCUGCACGGGAGGAAGCCUCAGGUGGCCCUCGACUGGACUGCCCGGCACCAGAUCGCCCUUGGUCUGGCCCAGGGCCUCUCCUACCUGCAACAGGACUGCGUGCCCAUGAUCGUCCACAGGGACGUCAAGUCGAGCAACGUGCUGAUGGACGCCGACAUGGUGCCCAAGCUCGCCGACUUCGGCAUGGGGAAGAUCGUCGGCGACGAGGACGCGGACGCCACGGUUUCCGUCAUCGUUGGCACCCUCGGCUACAUCGCGCCAGAGCAUGGAUACUCCACGAGGUUAACCGAGAAGAGCGACGUGUACAGCUACGGGGUGGUGCUGCUCGAGCUCCUGUGCAGGAAGAUGGCUGUGGACUCCGUGUUUGGAGACGGCGUUGACAUCGUGACAUGGAUGAGGUCGAGCAUGAAGCAGGCAGAUCAUCGCCCCGCCGCCAUGAACUGCUUGGAUGAGGAGAUUGUCUACUGGCCUGAAGAUGAGCAGGCCAAGGCACUGGACUUGCUUGAUCUAGCCAUUUCCUGCACGCAGGCGGCUUGCCAGUCGAGGCCUUCCAUGAGAGAGGUGCUGAACACUUUGGUGAGGAUGGAUAUGUAA